AGAACGAACGCUGGCGGCAUGCCUAACACAUGCAAGUCGAACGAAGCCUUCGGGCUUAGUGGCGCACGGGUGCGUAACGCGUGGGAAUCUGCCCCUCGGUUCGGAAUAACAGUUAGAAAUGACUGCUAAUACCGGAUGAUGACGAAAGUCCAAAGAUUUAUCGCCGAGGGAUGAGCCCGCGUAGGAUUAGCUAGUUGGUGAGGUAAGGGCUCACCAAGGCGACGAUCCUUAGCUGGUCUGAGAGGAUGAUCAGCCACACUGGGACUGAGACACGGCCCAGACUCCUACGGGAGGCAGCAGUGGGGAAUAUUGGACAAGUGGGCGAAAGCCUGAUCCAGCAAUGCCGCGUGAGUGAUGAAGGCCUUAGGGUCGUAAGCUCGUUUACCGGGAUGAUAUGACAGUACGGAGAAUAGCUCCGACUAACUCCGUGCCAGCAGCCGACGU
rnacentral:rRNA from 1 species